UUAAAGUUUGAUUUUGGUUUUAAUAUUAAUGUUAUUAUUUUUUUGCAUGUAAAUUUUUAAUUGAUUAAAAAUGAKUAUUGCAGCAUUURAUUUCAACAAUUAAAGAAAUUUAAAAUUAUAAAUCAUGUAUUUAAAUACAGACAAAAGAAUUGUGUGAGAAUCAUAGGCGGUMUGAUAAMURUCAAUUAURMUGAUCAAUUAWUGAAUUAYAUUAAAUUWUAUAUAAWUAGAGWAAAUUUUAUGGUGAAAUUAAAUUUUUUUAUUAUAUAUAUAUAUAUAUAUAUAUAUUANUUUAUGAAAUCUAAAUUUUAAACUAGGAUUAGAUACCCUAUUAUUUYAGAUGUUAAUUUUUAUUUUAAUAAUUAAUAGUUAUGUUCUUUAAAAUUGAGAAAGUUGGCUGUAUUUAMAACYAAUUAGGGGAAUUUGUUUAUUAAACGAURAUCCGCGAUAAAUCUUACUUUAAUUAAUUAAAUUUAUUUAUUUUCGUUAUCAGAAUAUUUUUUAGGAAUUUAAAUUUUCAUAAAAUUUUAUAAAAUUUUAUUUCAGAUCAAGAUGUAGUUUAUAUUAAAGWUUAAAUGAAUUACAAUAAAAUUAUUAUUUUUGAAUAUUAAAUUGAAAUAUUUAAUUGAAAUUGGACUURAUAGUAAAAUUUUAAAUUAUAAUUAUUUGAAUUUAGAAUUAAAUAUGUACAAAUUGYCCGUCACNMUCAUUAWAAAAUGGGAUAAGUCGUAACAAAGUAAAUAUACUGGAAAGUGUAUUUAGAAUU
rnacentral:ncRNA from 1 species